GUGACUAACUUUUUAUUCUUUGAUAUAAAAAUAUCCAAGCCCCACUAGAAAAUUUCUACUUGAUAUAUCCUAUUUUAUACAUCAAGUUUCCAAAACAUGGAAUAAUUAAUAUUUAAGAACUGAGAGUAUGCUAACUAAUUAACACACUCUUGAUUACACAGAAAAAAACCACAUUCCAAUAAUAUUUAAACAAUGAACUCUCUGAAUAUAUUCAAUUGAAUUGUUGCUGCUCCAACCAAGGCCAGAACCCAGAUUGGUCAUCCAUGCCACAAAACAUGUUGCUUAAGCUUUCUUCUUUGCUGAGUCACUGUAGUAGUUGGCCUAGUAGUAGUUGAGGAUGAUGGAAAGAAGGGUAUGCUAGUAAGAUGUGGUUUAUUGAUUCAGUUGGUU